AGAGUUUGAUCAUGGCUCAGAAUCAACGCUGGCGGCGCGCUUAACACAUGCAAGUCGAACGAGAAAGGGGAGCAAUCCCUGAGUACAGUGGCGUACGGGUGAGUAACACGUGGGUCAUCUACCCUUGGGUGGGGAAUAACCCUGGGAAACCGGGGCUAAUACCGCAUAUCUCCGAGAGGAGAAAGUCGCAAGACGCCUAAGGAGGAGCCCGCGGCCGAUUAGCUAGUUGGUAGGGUAAAAGCCUACCAAGGCUCAGAUCGGUAGCCGGCCUGAGAGGGCACUCGGCCACACUGGCACUGAAACACGGGCCAGACUCCUACGGGAGGCAGCAGUGGGGAAUCUUGCACAAUGGGGGAAACCCUGAUGCAGCGACGCCGCGUGAGCGAUGAAGCCCUUCGGGGUGUAAAGCUCUUUCGGCAGGGACGAUUAUGACGGUACCUGCAGAAGCAGC
rnacentral:rRNA from 1 species